UACACACCGCCCGUCACACCACGAAAGUCCGUUGUACCAGAAGUUGCUGGGCCAACCCGCAAGGGAAGCAGGCACCCAAGGUAUGAUUGGUGAUUGGGGUG
rnacentral:rRNA from 1 species